AUACUUACCUGACAGGGGAGACACCAUGAUCAGAAAAGUGAUUUCCCUAGGGCAAAGCUCAUCCGUUGCAUUCCAGGUGUGCUGACCCCGUGGUUUUCCCAGAUGUGGGAAACUCAGCUGCACAGUUUGUGGUAGUGGAGGACUGCAUUAACACUCUUCCU